rnacentral:miRNA from 1 species
AGACUGAUUUGAUAGGAGAACUCC